rnacentral:rRNA from 1 species
UACAGAGGUGCCGAGCGUUAGGCGGAAUCACUGGGCUUAAAGCGUGUGUAGGCGGAUGCCUAAGUACCUUGUGAAAUCCCACGGCUUAACCGUGGAACUGCUUGGUAUACUGGGUGUCUUGAGCCACUUAGGGGCUACCGGAACAAAUGGCGGGGCGGUGAAAUGCGUAGAUAUCAUUUGGAACGCCAACGGUGAAAACAGGUAGCUGGGAGUGUGCUGACGCUGAGACACGAAAGCCAGGGGAGCAAACGGG